UAGAAUUAAGUCUAGCCUGCCCACUGAAAAUUUAAAUGGCCGCAGUAAUUUGACUGUGCAAAGGUAGCAUAAUCAUUAGUUUUUUAAUUAGAAGCUAGAAUGAAUGGUUGGACGAGAUAUAAUCUGUCUUUGGAUAAAAAAUAGAAUUUAAUUUUUAAGUUAAAAAGCUUAAAUAAAAAUAAAAGACGAGAAGACCCUAUAGAUUUUUAUAAUAUUGUUUAUAUUAUAGAUUAAGAUUAUUUUAUUUAUUAUAUUUAAUAUUAUUUUAUUGGGGUAAUAGGGAGAUUAAAUUAAUUCUCUUAAGUAUUUUACAAUAAUGUUUGAUUUAUUUGAUCCUUUAUUAAAGAUUAAAAGAUUAAGUUACCUUAGGGAUAACAGCGUAAUUUUUUUGAAGAGUUCAUAUCGAUAAAAAAGUUUGCGACCUCGAUGUUGGAUUAAAAAUUAUUCUAGGAGUAGAAGUUUAGAAUUUUGGUCUGUUCGACCAUUAAAUUUUUACAUGAUCUGAGUUCAGACCGGUGUAAGCCAGGUCGGUUUCUAUCUUUAUUUAAUGAAUAUAUUUUAGUACGAAAGGACCAAAUAUUUAAUAUAUUAAUAUUUAUUUUUUGAAUAAUA
rnacentral:rRNA from 1 species